AAAGGCCCCUUCGGGGGCCGAGUAGAGUGGCGCACGGGUGAGUAACACGUAGGUAAUCUACCUCUGGGUGGGGAAUAACGACCGGAAACGGUCGCUAAUACCGCAUAAUGCAGCGGCACCACAUGGUGACAGUUGUUAAAGCGGGGGAUCGUAAGACCUCGCGCCUGGAGAUGAGCCUGCGGCGGAUUAGCUAGUUGGCGGGGUAACGGCCCACCAAGGCGACGAUCCGUAGCCGGCCUGAGAGGGCGGACGGCCACACUGGCACUGACAUACGGGCCAGACUCCUACGGGAGGCAGCAGUCGGGAAUUUUGGGCAAUGGGCGAAAGCCUGACCCAGCAACGCCGCGUGAAGGAUGAAGCUUCUCGGAGUGUAAACUUCAUAAGAAUGGGACGAAUAAGGAGGGGUUAAUACCCCCUUUGAUGACGGUACCAUUUGUAAGCUCCGGCUAACUCCGUGCCAGCAGCCGCGGUAAUACGGGGGGAGCAAGCGUUGUUCGGAUUUACUGGGCGUAAAGGGCGCGUAGGCGGCGCAACAAGUCAUUUGUGAAAUCUCCGGGCUUAACCCGGAGCGGCCAAGUGAUACUGUCGUGCUAGAGUGCGGAAGGGGCUACUGGAAUUCUCGGUGUAGCGGUGAAAUGCGUAGAUAUCGAGAGGAACACCUGCGGCGAAGGCGGGUAGCUGGGCCGACACUGACGCUGAGGCGCGAAAGCCAGGGGAGCGAACGGGAUUAGAUACCCCGGUAGUCCUGGCCUUAAACGAUGGAUACUUGGUGUCC
rnacentral:rRNA from 1 species